rnacentral:rRNA from 1 species
AUUAAACGCUGGCGGCAUGCCUUACACAUGCAAGUCGAACGGCAGCACGGGGCAACCUGGUGGCGAGUGGCGAACGGGUGAGUAAAGCAUCGGAACGUGCCCUGGAGUGGGGGAUAACGUAGCGAAAGUUACGCUAAUACCGCAUAUUCUGUGAGCAGGAAAGCAGGGGGAUCGCAAGACCUUGCGCUCUGGGAGCGGCCGAUGUCGGAUUAGCUAGUUGGUGGGGUAAAGGCCUACCAAGGCGACGAUCCGUAGCGGGUCUGAGAGGAUGAUCCGCCACACUGGGACUGAGACACGGCCCAGACUCCUACGGGAGGCAGCAGUGGGGAAUUUUGGACAAUGGGCGGAAGCCUGAUCCAGCCAUGCCGCGUGAGUGAAGAAGGCC